rnacentral:rRNA from 1 species
UACGUAGGGGGCAAGCGUUGUCCGGAUUUAUUGGGCGUAAAGAGCGUGUAGGCGGCCUGGAAGGUCAGCUGUGAAAACUCGAGGCUCAACCUCGAGACGUCGGUUGAAACCACCUGGCUAGAGUCCGGAAGAGGAGAGUGGAAUUCCCGGUGUAGCGGUGAAAUGCGCAGAUAUCGGGAAGAACACCCGUGGCGAAGGUGGCUCUCUGGGACGGUACUGACGCUGAGACGCGAAAGCGUGGGGAGCGAACAGG